GGUGGUUGUUGUGCUCAACAGAGGGUGACUAAAAGGCAGAGGGCACUUUGUGUUCUUGCUCCACCGCCGUCGCCGCUGCUGCUGCUGCGGCUCCCCAUCUGCGAGAGCUCUUGUGCUCCGGACACAGAGAGGGAGAGGGAGCAAGAGUGUAAAGUGGGGCUCUCUCUCUCUCUUGCCAGUUUCUUCUUCUUCUUCUUGUCGCCGCGGCGCGGACUAGAAGUGAGAAGAAGAAAAAGAAGAAGAAAGAGAAAGAGAGAUGGAUGGGUGACGACUACGAACCGAUCACCCGAAUCGAUUAGAAACAUAUUAUUAUUUUAUGAGGG
ensembl:ncRNA K07A3.4 ncRNA